CCUACGGGAGGCAGCAGUGAGGAAUAUUGGUCAAUGGUCGGGAGACUGAACCAGCCAAGCCGCGUGAGGGAGGAAGGUACAGAGUAUCGUAAACCUCUUUUGUCAGGGAACAAAGACUGGGCCGCGUCCCCGGAUGAGUGUACCUGAAGAAAAGGCAUCGGCUAACUCCGUGCCCGCGGCCGCGGUAAUCCGGAGGAUGCGAGCGUUAUCCGGAUUUGUGGGGUUUAAAGGGUGCGCGGGCGGCCUGUUAAGUCAGCGGUCAAAGCCUGGGGCUCAACCCCGGCCCGCCGUUGAAACUGGCAGUCGCGAGUUGGAGAGAAGUAUGCGGAAGGCGCGGUGUAGCGGUGAAAUGCAUAGAUAUCGCGCAGAACUCCGAGUGCGAAGGCAGCAUGCCGGCUCCACACUGACGCGGAGGCACGAAAGCGUGGGUAUCGAACAGGAUUAGAUACCCUUGUAGUC
rnacentral:rRNA from 1 species